UACGGAGGGUGCGAGCGUUGUCCGGAAUCAUUGGGCGUAAAGGGCGCGUAGGUGGCCCGGUCAGUCUUUGGUGAAAGCGCGGGGCUCAACCCUGCGUCGGCCAGGGAUACUGCCGCGGCUGGAGCACUGUAGAGGCAGGCGGAAUUCCGGGUGUAGCGGUGGAAUGCGUAGAGAUCCGGAAGAGCACCGGUGGCGAAGGCGGCCUGCUGGGCAGUUUUGCUGACACUGAGGCGCGACAGCGUGGGGAGCAAACAGG
rnacentral:rRNA from 1 species